AUUCAAACGCCGGUUCUCGUUCGAUCACAGAAGUUAAGCAGCGUCGAUCACGGUCAGUACUUAGAUGGGAGACAGCUAGCGAACAUAUGAUACUGUAA